rnacentral:rRNA from 1 species
AACGAACGCUGGCGGCGCGCCUAAUACAUGCAAGUCGAACGAGAAGCUGUAGCAAUACAGUUGUACAGUGGCGAACGGGUGAGGAAUACAUGGGUGACCUACCCUCGAGUGGGGAAUAACCAGCCGAAAGGUUGGCUAAUACCGCGUACGCUUCCCAGUCUACGGGUUGGGAAGGAAAGCGAUGCCGUGGGUAUCGCGCUCAAGGUUGGGCUCAUGUCCUAUCAGCUUGNGGUGGGGUAACGGCUCACCAAGGCAACGACGGGUAGCUGGUCUGAGAGGACGAUCAGCCACACUGGCACUGCGACACGGGCCAGACUCCUACGGGAGGCAGCAGUAAGGAAUAUUGCGCAAUGGGCGAAAGCCUGACGCAGCGACGCCGCGUGGGGGAUGAAGGUCUUCGGAUUGUAAACCCCUUUCGGGAGGGAAGAUGGAACGAGCAAUCGUUCGGACGGUACCUCCAGAAGCAGCCACGGCUAACUUCGUGCCAGCA